CGAAUGCUGACAUAAGUAACGAUAAAGCGGGUGAAAAGCCCGCUCGCCGGAAGACCAAGGGUUCCUGUCCAACGUUAAUCGGGGCAGGGUGAGUCGACCCCUAAGGCGAGGCCGAAAGGCGUAGUCGAUGGGAAACAGGUUAAUAUUCCUGUACUUGGUGUUACUGCGAAGGGGGGACGGAGAAGGCUAUGUUGGCCGGGCGACGGUUGUCCCGGUUUAAGCGUGUAGGCUGGUUUUCCAGGCAAAUCCGGAAAAUCAAGGCUGAGGCGUGAUGACGAGGCACUACGGUGCUGAAGCAACAAAUGCCCUGCUUCCAGGAAAAGCCUCUAAGCAUCAGGUAACAUCAAAUCGUACCCCAAACCGACACAGGUGGUCAGGUAGAGAAUACCAAGGCGCUUGAGAGAACUCGGGUGAAGGAACUAGGCAAAAUGGUGCCGUAACUUCGGGAGAAGGCACGCUGAUAUGUAGGUGAAGCGACUUGCUCGUGGAGCUGAAAUCAGUCGAAGAUACCAGCUGGCUGCAACUGUUUAUUAAAAACACAGCACUGUGCAAACACGAAAGUGGACGUAUACGGUGUGACGCCUGCCCGGUGCCGGAAGGUUAAUUGAUGGGGUCAGCGCAAGCGAAGCUCUUGAUCGAAGCCCCGGUAAACGGCGGCCGUAACUAUAACGGUCCUAAGGUAGCGAAAUUCCUUGUCGGGUAAGUUCCGACCUGCACGAAUGGCGUAAUGAUGGCCAGGCUGUCUCCACCCGAGACUCAGUGAAAUUGAACUCGCUGUGAAGAUGCAGUGUACCCGCGGCAAGACGGAAAGACCCCGUGAACCUUUACUAUAGCUUGACACUGAACAUUGAGCCUUGAUGUGUAGGAUAGGUGGGAGGCUUAGAAGUGUGGACGCCAGUCUGCAUGGAGCCGACCUUGAAAUACCACCCUUUAAUGUUUGAUGUUCUAACGUUGACCCGUAAUCCGGGUUGCGGACAGUGUCUGGUGGGUAGUUUGACUGGGGCGGUCUCCUCCUAAAGAGUAACGGAGGAGCACGAAGGUUGGCUAAUCCUGGUCGGACAUCAGGAGGUUAGUGCAAUGGCAUAAGCCAGCUUGACUGCGAGCGUGACGGCGCGAGCAGGUGCGAAAGCAGGUCAUAGUGAUCCGGUGGUUCUGAAUGGAAGGGCCAUCGCUCAACGGAUAAAAGGUACUCCGGGGAUAACAGGCUGAUACCGCCCAAGAGUUCAUAUCGACGGCGGUGUUUGGCACCUCGAUGUCGGCUCAUCACAUCCUGGGGCUGAAGUAGGUCCCAAGGGUAUGGCUGUUCGCCAUUUAAAGUGGUACGCGAGCUGGGUUUAGAACGUCGUGAGACAGUUCGGUCCCUAUCUGCCGUGGGCGCUGGAGAACUGAGGGGGGCUGCUCCUAGUACGAGAGGACCGGAGUGGACGCAUCACUGGUGUUCGGGUUGUCAUGCCAAUGGCACUGCCCGGUAGCUAAAUGCGGAAGAGAUAAGUGCUGAAAGCAUCUAAGCACGAAACUUGCCCCGAGAUGAGUUCUCCCUGACUCCUUGAGA
rnacentral:rRNA from 1 species